ACGGGUGAGUAACGCGUGGGAAUCUACCCAACUCUACGGAAUAACUCAGGGAAACUUGUGCUAAUACCGUAUACGCCCUUCGGGGGAAAGAUUUAUCGGAGUUGGAUGAGCCCGCGUUGGAUUAGCUAGUUGGUGGGGUAAAGGCCUACCAAGGCGACGAUCCAUAGCUGGUCUGAGAGGAUGAUCAGCCACAUUGGGACUGAGACACGGCCCAAACUCCUACGGGAGGCAGCAGUGGGGAAUAUUGGACAAUGGGCGCAAGCCUGAUCCAGCCAUGCCGCGUGUGUGAUGAAGGCCUUAGGGUUGUAAAGCACUUUCACCGGAGAAGAUAAUGACGGUAUCCGGAGAAGAAGCCCCGGCUAACUUCGUGCCAGCAGCCGCGGUAAUACGAAGGGGGCUAGCGUUGUUCGGAAUUACUGGGCGUAAAGCGCACGUAGGCGGAUCGAUCAGUCAGGGGUGAAAUCCCAGAGCUCAACUCUGGAACUGCCUUUGAUACUGUCGGUCUAGAGUAUGGAAGAGGUGAGUGGAAUUCCGAGU
rnacentral:rRNA from 1 species